rnacentral:rRNA from 1 species
AGUGAACGCUGGCGGUAAGCCUAACACAUGCAAGUCGAACGGCAGCACAGUAAGAGCUUGCUCUUACGGGUGGCGAGUGGCGGACGAGUGAGGAAUACAUCGGAAUCUACUUUUUCGUGGGGGAUAACGUAGGGAAACUUACGCUAAUACCGCAUACGACCUACGGGUGAAAGCAGGGGAUCUUCGGACCUUGCGCGAUUGAAUGAGCCGAUGUCGGAUUAGCUAGUUGGCGGGGUAAAGGCCCACCAAGGCGACGAUCCGUAGCUGGUCUGAGAGGAUGAUCAGCCACACUGGAACUGAGACACGGUCCAGACUCCUACGGGAGGCAGCAGUGGGGAAUAUUGGACAAUGGGCGCAAGCCUGAUCCAGCCAUACCGCGUGGGUGAAGAAGGCCUUCGGGUUGUAAAGCCCUUUUGUUGGGAAAGAAAAGCAGCAGGUUAAUACCCCGCUGUUCUGACGGUACCCAAAGAAUAAGCACCGGCUAACUUCGUG